rnacentral:lncRNA from 1 species
UGGGCAGUAAUCUGUCUCAACCCAGAGCCUGAAUGGGAAGUUAUUUUGGCAGUGUUUCCCCUAUAUGCAUUAGCAGUGACCACUGUUUUUUUAUUUAUAUACGGAUGUGUAUGUAUGAUUUAAAAAUAAAUAAAUAAAAAAGCGGGCACGGUAAAACAUUUUUCAGUGUAAACUUAAGCGUAAUGAUUAUGGCUCUAGAUUGCAGAAAAGGCUGUUUCAGGUGUUUGAAAAAUGUAAAAUUCACUAAUUUAAGGAUGGGGGCUGGGGCCCCCUCUGCACCUCUCCUCAGCCAUUCUCACAUACUUUGUGCCCCCUCAGAUUUGUGGGGUGCAUGACAGCCUGCAGCUUGUCACUGGUCAUUUCGCCUUUCUUGCAUGUUUUUAAUUUGCUUUCGUUCAGACUCUUAGUGUAUUAGGCUGUAGGCCUAGUGGAAUGUAUUAGACUAUAGGUAGUGGAAUGUAUUAGACUGUAGGUAGUGUAGGUAGUGGAAUGUAUUAGACUGUAGGCAGUGUAGGUAGUGGAAUGUAUUAGACUGUAGGUAGUGUAGGUAGUGGAAUGUAUUAGACUGUAGGUAGUGGAAUGUAUUAGACUGUAGGUAGUGUAGGUAGGGGAAUGUAUUAGACUGUAGGUAGUGUAGGUAGGGGAAUGUAUUAGACUGUAGGUAGUGGAAUGGAUUAGACUGUAGGUAGUGGAAUGUAUUAGACUAUAGGUAGUGGAAUGUAUUAGACUGUAGGUAGUGGAAUGUAUUAGACUGUAGGUAGUGGAAUGUAUUAGACUGUAGGUAGUGGAAUGUAUUAGACUGUAGGUAGUGUAGGUAGUGGAAUGUAUUAGACUGUAGGUAGUGGAAUGUAUUAGACUGUAGGUAGUGGAAUGUAUUAGACUAUAGGUAGUGGAAUGUAUUAGACUAUAGACCCUUUCUAAGCCAUAAAUGGAGAUGGGGAUUUGGAUUUGUGGCUUUGACUUAAUUCUCUGUCCAGGCCAAUGACUAUGACGGCAAUUCUGAUCUAACUGGUCACUUUAAUAAUGUUUACAUACUGUUUUACUCAUUUAAUAUGUAUAUACUGUAUUCUACUGUAUUUUAGUUAAUGCCACUUCGACAUUGCUCAUCCUAAUAUUUAUAUAUUUCUUAAUUCCAUACUUUUACUUUUAGAUUUGUGUGUAUUGUUGUGAAUUGUUAGAUACUACAGCACUGUUGGAGCUAAUUCUACGUUCUACCCAUAUUCAGUCCAAUUUUAACAAAUAAUAUUGUAUUGUAACCUAUUGAGUUCAUGAUUUGCACAGCAUAGCAUACCUUCCUAGGUCAGGCCGUCAAAGAUUUCUGGUCACGCUCCUACCCGGAACUUAAACCUCCAGUCUGGCGAUCCUAUCGGACAUAUUUCAUGAAACACAGGAACGAUUAAAGGAGAACAUAUUUGUUUACAUAGAUCCGAAGUUUAAAUGUUUUCAGUUUCUCAGACAUCUUCUGGUUUCGAAAUUAGCCAGGGCCAUUUUACUAUUUAAUAACUUAGAAACAGUGAAAACCCAUUAAAUUGUCUUGUUUAGUUAGCUCUCUGGAGCAGGUUUUCCGCUUGUUACGAGGGUAGCUAGCUAGCUAGCAGCAAUCAAUCGCUUGCUAUACAUUUCACGAUGGACGACAGACUAUGAAAUUUGACCUCCGAUGUUAUAAACAAAUUGAAAGGUAGUUAUUGCAGUUUUACAAAAAUGGAUAUCAGUCUAACAAUUUCCCUAAUGCGGGGCCAGAUGGGUACCGUGAUAGAGAGAGCGGUUAGUGCCGCUGUUGAGACUGUGUUGGGGGAGAUGCUUAGAGUCGUCGGCAUUAAAUUUGACGAGCUGAAGAGGGAGGUAGUUGCUAAAGAGAAAGAGGCGGAGAACAUAAGACAGAUGUUGGAGAUAUCCCGAUCUCAGAUGAAGACUAUGCGGAAACACAUGAAUGCUCUGGGUGAGAACGCCCACGCUGCCACUUAUCAGACCUACCGGACAGCAUUCGGCCAUUCUGAUCCCCGCAGAAUUCACGGUUCCUCCGAGGCCGCACUAUCCUCGGGUUUACCACAGCCACCGAGAAGGAUGGUUACUAACAACAACCAAAUUCCCACUACAAAUGGAAACUUACAGCCAAGGAAUCGAGUCACCAUCACCCUACCCUCUGAGAAUAUGGUCAGGGCCACCCAGCCGUCUGAUAACUUGGUCAGGGUCACCCAACCCUCUGAUAACUUCGUCAGGGCCACCCAGCCGUCUGAUAACUUGGUCAGGGUCACCCAACCCUCUGAUAACUUGGUCAGGGUCACCCAACCCUCUGAUAACUUCGUCAGGGCCACCCAGCCGUCUGAUAACUUGGUCAGGGCCACCCAACCCUCUGAUAACUUGGUCAGGGCCACCCAACCCUCUGAUAACUUGGUCAGGGUCACCCAACCCUCUGAUAACUUGGUCAGGGCCACCCAACCCUCUGACAAUAUGGUAACCGUUAGGCCCACGUCAACAUCCUUUGACAGUCACGAUGAUCUGACAACUGUGAUCUCCCAGACUCUGGAGGAUCGGACAUUGACACCCACUAGUUCAUCAGAGCAUCUGGAACCUUUGAAAGAGGAGCACCCAGCCCCUCUAGACCCCGAGGUGUCUGAUGAGAGCCAGAGGAGGGAGGAGGAAGAAGAGUGGACCACCGUUACACAGCCACCAUCAGAGACCAGCACAGACCCUGGAGACCAGCUGGUCCUCUCCCCACCCAGGACUGACGGAGCAGACUGCUCUGCCAGGAGUGUACUGCCACUCUCCCAGCCACUUUCCCAGUUCCAAGUGAAAGAGGAGGAAGCUGAGGUGGAGAUCAUCUGUAUCAAACAGGAACCAGAGGAGGUGGAGACCCUGCUGAUAAACCUGGCUGCCGAAGGCUUCGACUCUCAGGGCAACCUUUUAGACAGGCAGACUCAGGGAAACCACCUCCUGGACAGUCACAGGACAAUCCCAGGCUCUCAGAGCCAGAGGGAUCGGAGAGCAUCCCGUCCACCACAGAACCAGAGGACCUUAGCAGAGAAUACACCCUUCACCUCAGCCGACUCUUGUUCAUAUGGGCUGUCCCAGGCAGUGAUGUCCACGUCAGGAGGAGUUGCUCCCAGGCCGAUGGUUCGUCCGUGGCCCAAGGACCUGAGUCUGUACGAGGAGUUUAAAAUGAGACGAACUGAGUUGAGGAGGAGGAACCAGACCCGUCAGAGAGAGAUGGAGAAAAACCUUCCCCAGCCUCUAUUAGCUGACCUGGUGAAGGAGAGACGGGAGAAGACCCGGCUCAGAGUGGCCCGCUGGAGAGCCAAGAGGAAGCUUCAGGCCUGCCUACUGACUCAGAUGAACCAGCAGACACAACACCAACAGACUGGACCGGGUCUGGGCCAAGGGAACAGUCUGAACAGUGGGCUGGGGAAUCAUAGCCAGAUUAGCCACCACACACAGCACAAAACCACAGGCCCGACUCAGACACAACAGAGGAACAGUGCUGCCGUCUCUCAAUCUCAGUACAAUAACAGUUUUCUGUACAACAGAAGUCACUGUGACUCUGGGGCUGGUAACAUUAACUACCCUUCUCUCCAGUUAAACUCCUCUUCUCUAAUGCUGGGGCAACACGGAGGACACAAUAUGGUGGAGCACAUUAUGCAGCCUGCGAUGACGUCAUCCUCACAGCAGGGCCUCUCCCUGACAGACUCUGAGCUCUACCAGUAACAAGGGAUCAUGGGUAUUCAAAUCUUACCCUACAAGUUCUGGAUUACUGCUGGUUUUCUGUUCUACCUGAUAAUGAAUUACACCCACCUGGUGUCCCAGGUCUAAAUCAGGCCCUGAUUAGAGUGGGAUCACCCACCUGGUGUCCCAGGUCUAAAUCAGUCCCUGAUUAGAGGGGGAUCACCCACCUGGUGUCCCAGGUCUAAAUCAGUCCUUGAUUAGAGGGGAAUCACCCACCUGGUGUCCCAGGUCUAAAUCAGUCCCUGAUUAGAGGGGGAUCACCCACCUGGUGUCCCAGGUCUAAAUCAGUCCCUGAUUAGAGGGGGAUCACCCACCUGGUGUCCCAGGUCUAAAUCAGUCCCUGAUUAGAGGGGGAAUCAUCCACCUGGUGUCCCAGGUCUAAAUCAGUCCCUGAUUAGAGGAGAAGAGUGGAACUGGCUUUGUGGUCCACAUUUGAGUUAGAGGGCAGGAGACCAACAUUACAGUACCAGUUCUACUCUACCAGUACCAGUUCUACUCUACCAGUACCAGUUCUACUCUACCAGUACCAGUUCUACUCUUCCAGUUCUACUCUACCAGUACCAGUUCUACUCUACCAGUACCAGUUCUACUCUUCCAGUUCUACUCUACCAGUACCAGUUCUACUCUUCCAGUUCUACUCUACCAGUACCAGUUCUACUCUUCCAGUUCUACUCUACCAGUACCAGUUCUACUCUACCAGUACCAGUUCUACUCUACCAGUACCAGUUCUACUCUACCAGUACCAGUUCUACUCUACCAGUUCUACUCUACCAGUACCAGUUCUACUCUACCAGUACCAGUUCUACUCUUCCAGUUCUACUCUACCAGUACCAGUUCUACUCUUCCAGUUCUACUCUACCAGUACCAGUUCUACUCUACCAGUACCAGUUCUACUCUACCAGUACCAGUUCUACUCUACCAGUAACAAUAGAGCAGAGGAUGUGUUUUGUAGAGUCACUCCGUUGUAUGGCACCCUAUUCCCUAUGUAGUGCACUACAUUCGACAAAAGUUUUUUAUGGCUCUGGUCAAAAGUAGUGCACUAUAUAGGGAAUAUAGGGUGUCAUUUUCAGACACAACCUUUGCCUUCUGAUGCGGGGACAAUAACAUGAGAUAUUUCAAGGGGAAUUGUAUAAAUGCAAAAUUAUCCAAAUUGCCUGUGACAAAUUGAUAAAAAAAAAAAAGGCUUUUAUAAUUGAAUUGCUUAAAAAAAAAUAUAAAUACCUGAGAAUGUUUUGAUGUACAACAAAAGUCUUUAUUAAAAUACAUUAUUUAUGUUAACUUGAGUAAUGACUGUCCCUACAUGUCUACAAAUAUGGAGGAUAAAUCCUUGUACUCGAAUAACUGAUUGGAUCAUCAUGCGUAAUGCUUCUAGGUCAAACAAAUGUUCGUCAAUAUUAUUUAAUCAACUCUUAUUUAUACCUUGUAUUGCUCUGCAACUGGAUUUAAAUCACGAUAAUAUACUUAUUAUUCAGAUAUAGACCUAUUCAAUGAUAUACUAGGAAACUAUCCCAUAUACAUUAUGAAUCACUUUUUUGAGUUUAGGCCUAGUCUUUGAUCUCUUGCUUCAUUCCUCCUGUUCCGUACUUGAUAGUUACAUUAGCAGUGUUCAAGGCUGUUUACAUUAACCUGUCCAGUCAUUAUGUUUUUGGCAGCAUUUACAAAGUUUUGAUUAGAAAAUAGAUGGGACUGUUACUGUGCGUUUCCGUUGUUCAUAAAAAACAGCUGGAUGGAAUGACGUCACACCUAUUAAAAAAAAAAUUAUAAUAAUAAAAACACUUAGCAAAAACCGAGUGUCGAAUGAAAAGAAAGUGGUUGAAGUGUUUUCCAUUAUCCAUUUGGG